UAAUGACCAGGAAACUUAAUACUGGUAUCUGAUUUCUAAGUAAUCAAGUAUAACAGCUUUGACUUUCAAACUUUACACAACAACGAAGUUCUGUAUGAGGAAUAUCACUAUUGACAUUGGGAUUGUGGCUUGUCAGAGGGAUCUGAAUGUCUGCUAAUUGUUUUAUUUCCGGGAUCUGAAUGACAAAGUGUAAUAGCUACAGCUUUUGAAUUUUAUAUCAUUACAAAGCAUCUCUUGAAGCGAAUCUCUAUUAUUGUUGGGGGCAAGAAAAGAAAAGGUCAAGGUCACAGAAAUAUGGAGACUAAAAUGUUUCCUAGACCGUACCUUAUCAAGUAUUAUAUAUAUAUAUAUAUAUAUAUAUAUAUAUAUAUAUAUAUAUAUAUAUAUAUAUAUAGCUUUAAGCAAUGCCUUUAGAUCUAGUAUCAUUCAGUGAACAUUUCCAAAAUAUGAAGGGUCAGUGACGCAACAGGGCAAGGUCAGAAAGUAUAUAACUUUUGUUUCUUCAAUUUAAUUAUUUGAUAGAAAUCACAUCCUACAUCCCCGCACAUACACCACCCUUACCCCUAUCCAGCCCUGUACAUUUUUCCUGCCCUGUCUGCUACGCAUGGUGUAUUAUGCUCGGUUAAGCGGUUAUCCUUUUUCAUCUUGACUUGCAGCUAGAGAUAACCCCAUACACCCAAAAGGUUUUGCUGCGUUUUGUUCAUUUGUCCCUGCUUACAAAACAGUGGAUAUGAUGUUUCAAACAAUGAUUGGUUUCAAUUUCAUGACCUUUUUGCAUGAUUAAAGGCUUUCAAUUUCUACACAUAUAAUGGUAAAGAAUAUUAACUUGAAGACAUUUUAUCAAUAAGUUCUGACAGUUUUAUCCCAAAGAGGGAAUGUUGUAUAAAAUGCGGUGAGGCUUUUGGGUAGAAGGUGUCACUCAUAGCUGUAAACCCUUGCCAGUAUUGAUCAAUGGGUCAGAAAUCUUAUUCCUUACAGUGACUGUUCAGGGAUUUAGAAACAUUAAAUAAUGUACAGAUUUAUAUUAUAUCUUAAAUGACAAGAAAUGCAAGCAUUUUUUAAUUUUACUGAAUAAAUUAUCAUUAUGGGUAAAACGCUACCUUAAUGAUAUGACUUGCUCUGCUCCUCCAGUCUAUGACGCUGUUUGUGUACAUGAUAUUUCAGCAGAAUUGCUUCCCUUUGAAAGGGCUGGACUCCAGAUUGUUGGCUUAAAAGUAUUUUUAUUUAAAACUGAAGUUUUCGCAUAAUGUAAACAUUAGAACAGGAGUUUGUUUUUGGUUGAUGUUUUUGGUGGUUAUGUUUCUCAAUUAUUUUAGACAAUGUUAAAUCAAGAAGAAAACGGAAUUAAACCAUAGUUGCUUCGGCAGAAAUAUUUUCCUACUAACUUGAGAAAUUCAUAGUCAACGACUGUUUAUCUAAUUUAAAAGCUUUAUAAAUAAGGCAGUUUACUUGCGAUACAUCGUGAAAAAAACGCUUUGCAUUUAGUAGAAACAAUUAUUUCCCGUAUGUUUCAAUAACAUAAUAUGUCAGUAACUCAGCCUCAAAACCUUCUUAAAAAAUAAAGCAAUACAUUUUUGAUGUCGUAAAAUUUUCUUUUUUUGUUUGUUGUCGUACAAUCUGGAGGUCAGUUCCUUUAAUAUGAUGAAGAGAUUUAUCACAUGUUUCCUACUUAAUCACCAGUGUAUGUGUGAAAUGUUACUUGAUAUAAAUUGUUAGAUAUUUAUAAAAAUAUAUUGUAUAUAUAUAUAUCAUAUUGUUCUCAGGUCAUAAGGUUAUUUUGCAACUGAGUCCGCUUCCGGUACGGAGGACUUCGUAUUGCAUGGAAUUGUUCGUUCACUUAUGUGUAAUUAGUUUAGUGUUUGCAUUUGUAUUUAUAAUUAUGUCUCCCACCACACAGUGGUGUGGGAGACAUAUUGAUUUACUCCUGUCUGUCUGUCUUUCACAAAGCUUGUCCGCCCUCUAAGUCGAACAUUUCUCAUCCGAUCUUCACCAAACUUGAAAAAAAAAUGUGUUUGACUAUAAGAACUCGGCAAAGUUCGAUAACUAGCCAAAUCGACCAAGGCACUUAGAAGUUAUGGUCCUUGAAAGUAACUACCAACAACUACCGGUGUACAUUGUAAACUGGUUACUCCACUACCGAUACAGCAUUGUAGACUGGUGUGGCAUUAUAGAAUUUUAGACCGGUAACUCCAACACUACCGAUACAUCAUUGUAGACCGAUUACUCUAACAUGCGAAUACCAAAAUGCCACAAACAGUAUACAAAGACAGACUUACUAUUCAGAUUAUUAUGCAGUUGUGAGAGACAUGCGCUUUUCUCAAAAGCACCUCUAGUUCCUUUCACGAAAAACAGUAAAAAUUGUCUGUUUUUGUAUAAGUUCACCCUCAGACUGGCUUUAUUACGUAUAAUUUUGAUGACGUAUGCGGGGCUUGGGUAGUACUCUUGUUUAUCAAAGGUUCAUAUCUACAUUAAAUGUAAUAUUUUACAUACAGGAAAAAUGUAGUUCAUUAUAUAUUUAAUGUUGUAACUAUUGUCCAUUAGUUCUUGAUGGAAUAAAGUUAUUUGUAUCCUACACAUGUAAGUUUAUUUGCAUCUGUUCCGAUGUCUUGUACAUUAUUAUUUUGUACUAUUAUUUUGUAUAUAAAUGAAUCUAUGUCUUACGUAUAUUGAUCUUAUAUUAUUCAAUUUAUUUUUGUCUAUGAGCAUGAAUGAUAAAAAUGGAUUUUAAACGGGUGCAGUUUCAGUAGUGAAGUUAUUUGACGAGUUGAAUUGAUUAAUAUAGAUCACUCGGUUAACAUAUAGUACCAUUUAAUCAACGAAUUCAAUAACUGUACUUCAAUGAGAAGUUUUUUGAGAACUAUUUUAUCACAAAGAGAGAAUACACGCCUUACACCGACACCAAUACUUUAUACCCUUUUCCCGGCGUUAUUCCGAGCCCCUUAACUGGUAUUCAAAGUCUUGUCAGUAACAACUUUUUAAAUUUCAAAAGUGUUUUUACUAUACAAUGAUACUCCAACAUCUCGACUUAAAAUAUCCACAUGUAGAAAAAUUCUAGGGAUUGUUGUCAAUGAAUAAUCUAGGCUUUCACAUGAUGACCCUCACCCUCUGAAACAGCCAGAUACUUCCUCGUUGAACCGAAACUAAUGCGUUUGUGUAACAAUUCUUUUUUAAAUUACGAACAGAUAUUUAACUGUGCUUGCAGACGAAAAUGUUUUACAAAACUUGGUUUCAGUUUCUGUAAGGUUAUAUAUUACCCCAGUGAUUUAAGAUAAGCAAAUGUUUUGCCAAAUCUUUUUGUUGUGUAUGUAUCUAUGAUAAAGUAAAAGAUACAACUUUGUUUUUAUUAGCUCACCAGAGCACAGAGUGCCCAAGGUGAGCUAUUGUGACCGGUCAUUGUCCGGCGUCCGCCGUACUUCGUGCGUCUUCCGUCGUCCUUCAACAUUUGCCUUUUGAACACUCUAGAGGCCAAAUUUGUAAACCAAUCUUCAUGAAACUUGGUCAGAAUGUUAGUCUUAAUAAUUUCUAGGUCAGCUUUUAAACUUGGUUAUGUGAGGUCAAAAACUAAGUUAGUAGGCCAGAUCAAAGGAAAAGUUUGUGUACACUCUGGAGACCACAUGUUUUACCCAAUCUUAAUGAAACUUGAUCAGAAUGUUAGUCCUAAUAAUUUCUAGGUCGAUUUCGAAACUGGGUCUUACGGGUUUAAAAAAGUAGACAUGUGGGUCAGAUCAAAGGAAAAGCGUGUGAACACUCUAGAGACCACGUUUGUAAACCAAUUUUUAUGAAUUUUGGUCAGAAUGUUAGUCUUGAUGAUUUCUAGGACAAGUUUGAAACUGGGUCAUGUGAGGUCAAAUACCAGGUCAGUAGGUCAGAUCAAAGGAAAAGUUUGUGAACACUCUGGAGACCACAGUUUUGACCCAAUCUUUAUGAAUCUUGGUCAGAAUGUUAGUCUUGAUGAUUUCUAGGUCAAGUUUGAAACUGGGUUAUGUAGGAUCAAAAGCUAGGUUAGUAGGCCAGAUCAAACGAAAGCUUGUAAACAGUCUAGAGACUACAUCUUUUACCCAAUCAUUAUGAAACUUCGUCAGUCUUGAUGAUCUCUAGGUCAAAUUCGAAACUGGGUCUUAUGGGUUCAAAUACUAGAUCAGUAGGUCAGAUCAAAGGAAAAGCUUGUGAACACUGUAGAGACCAUAUUUUGACCAAUCUUUAUGAAACUUUCUUAGAAUAUUAGUCUUGAUGAUCUCUCAGUAAAGUUAGAAACUGGGUCUGGCGGGUUUAAAAAUUAGGUCAGUAGGUCAGACCAAAGAAAAAGCUUGUGAACACUGAAGAGAGGACAUUUUUGACCCAAUAUGUAUGAAACUUAGUCUUGAUGAUCUCUAGGAUAAGUGCUUAACUGGGUUAUUUGAAGUAAAAACUAGGUCAGUAGGUCAGAUCAAAGGAAAAGUUUGUGACACUCUAGAGACCACAUUUGCAAUUCAAUCUUUAUGAAACUUAGUCAGAAUGUUAGUCUUAAUGAUCUCUAGGUCAAGUUUGAAUCUUAGUCAUGUUUGGUCUAAAACUGGAACAGUAGGCAAGAUCAAAUGAAACAUUUGUGAACACUCUAGAGACAGCAUUUUUGACCCAAUAUUUAUGAAACUUGGUCAGAAUGUUAGCUUGAUGAUCUCUAGGUCAAGUGUGAAACUGUGUCAUGUUGGAUCAAAAACUAGGUCACCUGGUCAAAUCAAAGUAACAUCUUGUGAACACUCUAGAGGCCACAGUUGUGUCUCAGUAUUUAUGAAACUUAGUCAAAAAGUUUGCCUUGAUGAUUUCUAGGUCAAUUUUGAAUCUGGGUCAUGUGUGGUCAAAAUCUAGGUCACCUGGUUAAAUCAAAGGAAACGCUUGUUCACGAUUUAGAGGCCAUAGUUGUAACUCAAUCGUUAUAAAACUGGGUCAGAAUGUUUGUCUUAUCAUUUCUAGGUCAAGUUUGAAUCUUGGUCAUGUAUGUUCAAAAACUAGGUCACUAAGCCAGAUCAAAGGAAAAUGUUUCCAGCACUCAAAGAGACCACAACUUAAGUUUGAAACUCAUGAGAAUUAGUGAGAAUGUUUGUUUUGAUAAUCUGUAGGUCAAGUUCGAAUCUGGAUCAUGUGAGGUCAAAAACUAGGUCACUCGGUCAAAUCAAGGGAAAAGCAUGUGAACACUCUAGAGGCGACAGUUGUAACCAAAUCUUUAUGAUUUAAUCAGAAUGUUUGUCUUGAUGAUCUUUAGGUCAUGUUCAACUCUUGGUCAUGUGGGGUCAAAAACUAGGUUAGUAGGCCGGAUCAACUCUGGUGAGCAAUAAAAAGGACCAAGAUGAGGAAUAUAAAGUAUGUUAUGAUAAUAAAUUUCUUUCGUUUUGAAAUACAGUUUUAGUGUGUUUCAUCUAAUUAGCGUGAUACAAACAAGUCUGUUUAUGCACUAUAAUAACGUUUAUAUUUCAUUAUGAUGAAUAUUUUAUGCAUUAUGUAGUAUCGGUUCUAAGUCGAUGUAUGAUAUAUCAGAAUGGUAUGAAUACUGAACUGCAUAAAAUUUACGGAAAUGAUUAAAAGAUGUCAUUAAG